rnacentral:lncRNA from 1 species
UCAACCAAAAAAAAGAGCCGCAUUUUUUGUUACCUUCUCUCUCCCUCUCGUCGCGAAGACUGAAGCCCUUCUUCAGCUCGACGAAGACUGAAGAUACUUCUCCCUCUCUAAGCCGCCUGAAGAAACUCUACCUUCUCCCUCUCACUUCGUCAUAUAUAUCUCCAAAGUCUCCUUCUCUCUUCGCAUCCAACGGCCCCUUCGCUCUUUCAAGUCGAUUCAGUGGCAAGGUAACAAAAUUAGAACUUUGGGUCAUGAUUUUCUUGUUUUAUGGGUUGAAAUCAUGCUUAGAGAGGGUCCAAUUUGUGAUUUGGUGUUCAAUAAUAGCUUUUUAGGGAUUAAAAUUUCUGUUCCUCAAUGGCUAUAAUAUGCAAAAUUACUGUUGGGUUCUGUAUUAUGGAGUUGGGUUUUCUGUACUUGUUCUGUAUUCACCUUUUGUAUUUAGAAGCAUGCAUAUCUUGGUGAAAAGCCAUAUAAGUACUGAAAUUUCUGUAUUAUGGAGUUGAGUUUUAUGUACUGAAUUGUUAAAGCUAAAAAUAAUUUUUACUGCACUAAUUUUAUAUUUUGAAAAAAUCAAUAGCUUUAUUUUAUGUAGUGGCCAUGGAUUACAACUCCGAACAAAGUCAUAUACUAUUUUUUAAGGACAAUUGUUAAAAUCUAGCAUCUUCAUUCAUUGUGCUACACCUAAUCAUUUUUUUAAAUUUAUUAUGGGCAGAAUAGAAGAAAAUGGAUGUCGUGAACCAUGAAAUAGAUAGUUGUGGGGAUAAUGUAGAAAUGGAAAUGGAGAUGGAGAAAAUUGUUUAAAUGUAGAACUGGAGAAUCAAAUGAUGAUGCUACUCAGGAUCCAAGUGUAGCUAAUGAUUAUAGUGAUCCAACAGAGAUUUCUAAAUUCUAGGGUAAUGAUAAUAUUCAUCCAAGUGUAUUAAAUUUAUAUCAAUAUGUAGUGUUUUGGAGUGCGCCAUAAAAUUUAUGAUAUUCAGUCUAAUUUUGAUUGGUUUCUUUAAUUCUAUUUUUUGCAGGUGUAUGACAGCUUUGGACGCAAUUGAUUAUAGCGGUUCACUGGUUCCGGUGAUUGCAUGAAUGCAGACUAUAUGAACUUUGGCCUCAUGAAGUACUCUGUGUCUCGCUUUGUCAACUCCUGUUAUAGAAUGAAUGGCUCCUCAUGAACUUUCUAAGUGGUGAUAUGUAAUAUUAAAUAUUAAUUAUGCAGAUGUAGUACUCAUUCAAGCUGUAUUUCUUGUUGUUUGUUAUAUGUAAUCAAGCAGCCUUCUACUGCCUUCUGUCUACUUCUUGUUUGUUAUAGUUUGUAUUUAAUGAAUUAUUUUCUGGAAA